rnacentral:rRNA from 1 species
AACGAACGCUGGCGGCAGGCUUAACACAUGCAAGUCGAGCGCCCCGCAAGGGGAGCGGCAGACGGGUGAGUAACGCGUGGGAAUCUACCCAUCUCUACGGAAUAACGCAUGGAAACGUGUGCUAAUACCGUAUACGUCCUUCGGGAGAAAGAUUUAUCGGAGAUGGAUGAGCCCGCGUUGGAUUAGCUAGUUGGUGGGGUAAAGGCCUACCAAGGCGACGAUCCAUAGCUGGUCUGAGAGGAUGAUCAGCCACACUGGGGCUGAGACACGGCCCAGACUGCUACGGGAGGCAGCAGUGGGGAAUAUUGGACAAUGGGCGCAAGCCUGAUCCAGCCAUGCCGCGUGAGUGAUGAAGGCCCUAGGGUUGUAAGGCUCUUUCACCGGUGAAGAUAAUGACGGUAACCGGAGAAGAAGCCCCGGCUAACUUCGUGCCAGCCGCCGCGGUAAUAC